rnacentral:rRNA from 1 species
CUACGUGCCAGCAGCCGCGGUAAUACGGAAGGUUCGGGCGUUAUCCGGAUUUAUUGGGUUUAAAGGGAGCGUAGGCCGGAGACUAAGUGUGUUGUGAAAUGUAGACGCUCAACGUCUGACUUGCAGCGCAUACUGGUUUCCUUGAGUACGCACAACGUUGGCGGAAUUCGUCGUGUAGCGGUGAAAUGCUUAGAUAUGACGAAGAACUCCGAUUGCGAAGGCAGCUGACGGGAGCGCAACUGACGCUGAAGCUCGAAGGUGCGGGUAUCGAACAGGAUUAGAUACCCUGGUAGUCCGCACAGUAAACGAUGGAUGCCCGCUGUUGGUACCUGGUAUCAGCGGCUAAGCGAAAGCAUUAAGCAUCCCACCUGGGGAGUACGCCGGCAACGGUGAAACUCAAAGGAAUUGACGGGGGCCCGCACAAGCGGAGGAACAUGUGGUUUAAUUCGAUGAUACGCGAGGAACCUUACCCGGGCUUGAA